GUGUCAGCCGCCGCGGUAACACGUAGGGGGCGAGCGUUGUCCGGAAUUACUGGGCGUAAAGGGCGCGUAGGCGGCCCAAUAAGUCAGAUGUGAAAGUCCUGGGCUUAACCCAGGGAUUGCAUUUGAAACUGUUGGGCUUGAGGACAGGAGAGGAAAGCGGAAUUCCCAGUGUAGCGGUGAAAUGCGUAGAUAUUGGGAGGAACACCAGUGGCGAAGGCGGCUUUCUGGACUGUCCCUGACGCUGAGGCGCGAAAGCCAGGGGAGCGAACGGGAUUAGAUACCCCGGUAGUCCUGGCCGUAAACGAUGGAUACUAGGUGUGGGAGGUAUCGACCCCUUCCGUGCCGCAGCCAACGCAUUAAGUAUCCCGCCUGGGGAGUACGGCCGCAAGGCUGAAACUCAAAUGAAUUGACGG
rnacentral:rRNA from 1 species